rnacentral:tRNA from 1 species
UAGCCUAGUGGUUAAGGCUACGGAUCGCCAAUCCGGAGACGGCGCGGCGGGUUCGAUUCCCGU